UGAUUGGCUUGGGGUUAGCACGACCUGUUUCCCCCAGAGAAAGAAAUGUCUGACUUGAAAAUUAACUCUAAGGAAGUUUCAACUCCUGUUGCUGGAAUGACACCAACUGACCCAAAUGAGAGCUUGACAUUUUCUGGUUUUCAUUGGUCUAUUGAUACACAAAGACAAGAAGCUACAUGUAUAUAAAAAAGACAGACAA